CCCAACAACAACAACUCAUUAGCUGUUCAUUAACCACUGGCGAAGUUUUAACUGCUGCCUGAUUGAUCACUAGUCACCAGCAGGAAAUCAGCUGCUGCCAUCUUCCUGGAUGCCUCUUGUUCACAUCAAUUCCAUUAUCGGGGUAGAGACGGCAAAGGACAAGAAACGUCAGAAGAGAGGUACUCUCUAAUGUGUGUUGCUAGAAGGCUAAUCUUUCUACAAGGUGACCCAUAGCCAAGGAAACGAAGAAACAGCCCAUCGCUCAUAACAUUCAAGGGAUGACAUGAAAGAUGCCAGAGAUUCUUUCCAAACCACAAUUGAUUCUGAGAUGGGACUGUGAAAUUGCCUGCUGGGGACCAUAAACUCCUACCAUGGAACAGAAUGUCUUUGACUGAAAAUAAAAGCUCUUGCUCUUGGGGGAAGAGAGCAAAGAAGUAAGAGGGGAUAUGUCUGUGAUCUCCAGUGCUUAGAACAAUAUUUGGCAAAUACCUAAUCUUCCAGAACUCAAGGUCACCUGCCUGCCAUGAAGAUGCAUUGGAGUCAACUGACUGCUUAAUUCAGCAUGACAUUUAUCAAGUACUCAUCCUGCACAACUUUAUACAAGGUCACCUUAUUCAUACCUAUCUCAUGCACAGGGAUACUGCGUGGUAGAGUGGGAUAGAAUGCUAGAAUUGGAAUCAGGAAGAUUCAUCUUUCUGAGUUCAAAUCCAGCCUCAGACACUUGACCUUG